GAUGAACGCUGGCGGCGUGCCUAAUACAUGCAAGUCGAGCGAACAGACGAGGAGCUUGCUCCUCUGACGUGAGCGGCGGAGGGGUGAGUAACACGUGUAUAACCUACCUAUAAGACUGGUAUAAUUUCGGGAAACCGGAGCUUAUACCGGAUAAUAUAUUGCAGCGCAUGGGUCAAUAGUGAAAUACGGUUUUGGUGGCACGUAUAGCUGGAUCCGCGCUGCAUUAGCUAGUUGGUAAGGUAACGGCUUACCAAGGCAACGAGGCGUAGCCGAAGUGAGGGGGUGGUCGGCCACACGGGAACUGGGACACGGUCCAUGCUCCUACGGGAGGCAGCAGUAGGGAAUCUGCGGCAAUGGGCGAAAGCUUGACGGAGCAACGCCGAGUGAGUGACAAAGGCCUUCGGAUCGUAAAACUCUGUUAUUAGGGAAGAACAAAUGUGUAAGUAACUAUGCCCGUCUUGACGGUACCUAAUCAGAAAGCCACGGCUAACUACGUG
rnacentral:rRNA from 1 species